UUGCAGUUUAGGUUUUACCAGAUCCACAGAACACCUGUUUCUUUGAUCCUCCUAUAAUCUGUUCAUCAAGAUGAAUAUGCUGCCAGCAUAGGCAAGGGACCUUCAAGAAAGUGUACUAGCAGAAGCAGAAGGAGCUGCUCAAACAGUAUGAGAAGCAGGAGAAGAAGCUGAAAGACCUUAAGGCCGGUAGAAAAUGCACAAAACAGGUGGAAAAACAGACAAAAGAGGCCUUGACCUGGAAGCUGCAGAAAUUCUGCAAGGAGAACCAGGACGAGAAGUCCAAUGAGGCCCCAAGCUGCUGAAGAGGCCUUGGGAAAACAGUGAAAUUCAUCUUCCCCAACCCCCUACUGCUUAG
rnacentral:lncRNA from 1 species